GACGUAGGGCGCGAUCGUUGUCCGGAUUUAUUGGGCGUAAAGAGCUUGUAGGCGGUCUGUCGCGUCUGCUGUGAAAUUUCGGGGCUCAACCCCGAACUUGCAGUGGGUACGGGCAGACUAGAGUGUGGUAGGGGAGACUGGAAUUCCUGGUGUAGCGGUGAAAUGCGUAGAUAUGCGGAGGAACACCAGUGGCGAAGGCGGCCUCCUGGUACACUCCUGACACUCAGACGCGAAAGCUAGGGGAGCGAACGGG
rnacentral:rRNA from 1 species